AAUGAACGCUGGCGGCAGGCCUAAAACAUGCAAGUCGAACGCUGUAGCAAUACAGAGUGGCGCACGGGUGAGUAACAUGUGGGAAUAUGCCUAUUGGUACGGAACAACGUUUGGAAACGAACGCUAAUACCGUAUGGUCCCUUCGGGUAAAGAUUUAUCGCCAAUAGAUUAGCCCGCACUAGAUUAGCUAGUUGGUGAGGUAAGAGCUCACCAAGGCGACGAUCUAUAGCUGGUCUGAGAGGACGAUCAGCCACACUGGGACUGAGACACGGCCCAGACUCCUACGGGAGGCAGCAGUUAGGAAUAUUGG
rnacentral:rRNA from 1 species